CAGACCUGAGGUCUUCCUCUGCAUUUCAUUUGCUGUUCCCUGGCCUGCAAUGCCCCUUCCUUCCCACCUCCCCCGAGGGCCUAGCAGCCCCUCCUACACAGCCCUCUAGCCCCUCUGUGCUCAAAGUGCAUCUGAGGACAUCACCUGAGAGCUGUAGGAGAUGCAGGAUCUCAGGCCCCACCCCAAACCUACUGAAGCCAAAUCUGCUGUUUAACGUGAUCCCUGGAGAUUCAUAAGCAUGUUGUCUGUGCAGCACGGAGUGAGGGGCGGCUCCUCUUCGCUGCACCCCUUCCUGAUUACCCCUAGGCCCAGCCAAAUAAACUCUUCUUCCUGCUCCCUUGUGCCCCAUUUGGACUUCACUCGUAACAAGGGAGUAUAACUGGAUGGUAAAAGGGACUUUUCCUGUUAUCUAGACAUUUCAGCAGAGGCCUCAAAGGCAGAACAAAAUAGUGCAAGGAGCCGCACAUCCGCACAGUGCUGAGACCCUGCCCAGGACAAGCUUGCAGAUCCUGGCACCCAAGUGACAACCUGCAUUGAAAAGGCGGAACUUGGCUCUCCUGCCCUGCCAGCUGUAAGAGCUUGAAAGCAAAGCUAUGGGGGGAAUGUCUUUCAUUUCCCCCUGGAAGCUGGGAGGACGUUCAGCUUAGCAUUGCCAACUGUGUAAUGUGGACUUGCCUCUAAAAGAAGCCUUUUUCCUUGGAUGUCUUUCAGGCCGCAGUAUUCCCUUUGGCACCCCCACCCACCUGGAACAAAGCCUGAUGUAAAGUCUGGGUGCGACUCAGACCGGCCUGGGAAAGAAUUUAUUUAAUAAAUGGUGGAAAGUGGCUUCCUUGACGUGUCUUCGAUGGCUUUUUUAUAAAGCAUUUGGUUUGUCUACUCGUCUGUUUUUGCGCCAUCUCUUUCCACAAAGAUGGCUUAUAGCAGGGAUACUUACAACAAAAUGAUGCUGGGAAAACAAAAACAAAGAAGUAGAGAAUUAGGCCUGAGAAAACUAGGAGUAGAGAGUCACGAUUAGAUACAGAGGAGCAUAGAUGUGUAGUCUAGGAAGGCCAACUAAUUGUUAUAGCUGAAAUUCAAAUUCAGUUAGCUAAAAUGUUCCUAGUGUCAAAGGAAGAAUGGGCCACACAGUUGCAUAAUCCUUAGUAUUAGGGAGAAGGAAAAGGUUCCAGUUAUUCAGAGGGAUGUUCUCUUGCCUUAUUCCUUUAAUAAGUAUCUGUUAAAGGCCCACCAUGUGCCAAGCACCAUGCCCGGCAAGCACUGCACUCACCCCCCAGGAACUCAGUGUCUAAAGGAGACUGGGUGAAAGAACUAUAUUUGUGUGCCUAUGAUGUGUCAAAUACUAUGCAUUUAGUUAUGCAGUUACUGUAUGUUAGACACUAUGCAUUUAAUUAUUUACCUGCUGUAUAUCAGACACCAUGCAUUUUCAUUUAACCCUCAUAAGCACUUACAUCAAGUAGACAC
rnacentral:lncRNA from 1 species